GUGAAUCAUCAAAUCUUUGAACGCAAAUUGCACUCUCUUCGGAGAGUAUGCCUGUUUGAGGUUCAGCCUAAUAAAAAUCGACAUAGUUGCUGUUUCGCGGUGGCAUUCGUCGGAAACUGGGUCACCUUAAACCUCUGGGAUUUCAGCGGCUUAAAAUUUUCUGUACGAUUCCACGACCGUUUCUAAGAUUUACUUCUUACGUUUAAGGUAUCGAUUUUUAUUAGACGUGUCCGUUGCUUCGGGUUAGGUCCAUAAAUA
rnacentral:misc_RNA from 1 species